rnacentral:lncRNA from 1 species
GGCCACCAGUUCAUCAACCAGCUCCUGGCCCAGGCGUCCAAAGUGGGUCUUGUCACGGUAGCUCCAGGGUAGCUGAUCCGGGGAGACCUCCUGGGAAGGCGAGAGAGAGCAGGGAGGACUCCUGGGGGUUCUCGGUGUUCACCCAGCCAGCUCUGGACAGCCAGCUCUGCCACAGCAGGACACGGGAGAAACCCUUCACCAAAAGAAGCUUCUAACUCAACUGUCACUGCCAUGUUCUCCCCAACCUCUUGGUUCCACUGGCCCUACCCGAAUUGUGCACCCUAAGAUGAACUGACUCUGGUUACUCCUCAGUGAGGCGGAACCCUUUAGCAAUGGCAGGUAGGCUGAUAGGUGCUAUGACAGCAGGAGCACCAGCAGCACCCAGGGACCCGUGACUGCAGGAUGGACUUCUCUACCCAUCAGCAGAUCCAGAAAAGAUUUCCAGAAAUGGAAUUACUGGGUCAAAGGAUUCUCAAGACUCUUGAUACACACGACUGGACUUCUUCCCAGGAAUGAGGCAGCGAUGAGAAAUGACCAGUUCUUUCUGGGAAAGGUGGGCAAAGCAAGCGUGCUGUGGAGACGAGGCAAGAGCCUUCCAGUCUAGAAGUGAGUGUGGGCUGUGCCAGCUUCCUGAGGAGAAGAUGCAAUCGGAACAGCAUCUAAGAGUCAGAGGGCAUCAGGGUCCUGAGCUCUGGGUCCUCAAACCUGAUCUUCUGAGGCACGGCAGCCAUCAACGGUUUUGGAGUAAAGGGGA